UAGGGAAUCUUCCACAAUGGACGAAAGUCUGAUGGAGCAACGCCGCGUGAGUGAAGAAGGGUUUCGGCUCGUAAAGCUCUGUUGGUAGUGAAGAAAGAUAGAGGUAGUAACUGGCCUUUAUUUGACGGUAAUUACUUAGAAAGUCACGGCUAACUACGUGCCAGCAACCGCGGUAAUACUCAUCU
rnacentral:rRNA from 1 species